ensembl:lncRNA
UGCUAUUAAUGCUAAGCACAUUAGCAUUAUUGUGCUAACAAUCUAAUAAUGGAUUCUUUAAAUUGAAGUAUAAAUAAAAUAAACUUUAAAAAGUGAAUUUAAAUACUUUAAGCACUGCCCUGGAUGUUAAAUUAUGCAUCAUUUACUGUUAUUACUAUAACGAGCACAUGUAACAUCUAUCAAGGAUGUGACUGCUUACAAUUCUACAAAUCUUGAAAUGCGUUGCUCAAUGCUCAGCGUACAUUUUGCUGCACUUUCAGAUGACUCUUCUAUAAGAGGUGCUAUAAGUGAUGUAUAUUUUUUGUUUCGUGAAAAUGGUUUAAAAAAAAAUAGUAUUGUGCAAAGAACCAUGCAAAAAUAACCUUUAUUUAUUGAUAAUCUGCCCCUCUAAUCCUAAUUUUUGUGGAAAGGAACAAAACAUGGUGAAAUGUAUGUGCAUGUACAUUUGUGCAGUUUUGCAGAAAUGUAGUCUGUGUUACGUAUUUCCAAUGAGCCUGAGUAUGUAAAAUAAAAUGAUCAAAUCUUUUGCAACAUUAUAAAUGUCUGUUUUUGUUUUUGAGCAAUUUAAUUUUGCUGAAAAAGUAUUAAUUUCUUUCCUUAAAAACAACAGCAGCAAUAAAAGUAUCACACACACACACACACACACACACACACACACACACACACACACACACACACACACACACUCUCUCUCUCUCUCUCUCUCUCUCUCUCUCUCUUUCUCUCUCUAUAUAUAUUAAUGUCUAUCUUUUAAUAUUAUCACAAUGAUUCAAGUGGUAUGUAUGUUUAAAGUGUAUUGUAUUUGUUUACAGAUGCUGAUUUUAUGCCUGCAUCUUUGCUGUGCACUACAAAAUGGAAAGUGCAACUUUACAGUGGCAAUGGUGCAUACUGCUGGAAAAGUCACUUGCUUCAAGAUGAUGGAUGGACAUGUCCCAAUUUGCAUGUCUGGUGGUCAAACAUCUCAAUCAUGUGACAUUGCGUACAAAGAUGGGAUGACGUGUAUAAAGUGGCCAGCAGACAUCGAACUCACAUGUGUGAACGAUUCUGAUGAGAUGCAUAAGCUCAAUAUUGAAGAAAACAAGUGUGCCCAUGACCAAGAAUCUAUUAGUUGCAAUGGAGAGUACAAAUCUGGUAAGUUUAUUUAAUCAAAGUUUUUUUGAUUAAUUUAAGCUCAUGUUUUUUAAACAAACAAAUUGCAUGACUGCACCCUGAAGUCAAUUAAUUGUUUUUUCCCCCAGAGCUUAGAAAUUCUGCAUCAACCCUGUCAUUGAGUAAGAAUGCAAAACAAUUAUAUGCUACAAGUUUGCAUCCAUCAUAAAAGAAUUCCACAUGUUCAUAUAUUGUAUGUAAACUAUUGAUCCUUUUGUUUUUUGCAGGCAUUCUUCUAAUUACUACCAUUGUCCACUGGGUGUCACUAUGGCACUACUAAUAUAGUAAUAUAGUGUAUAGUUCUGAGACACAUUACUCAAACUUAAAAAUAAUAAUAACAAUAAUAAUGUGUUCGAAUAAACCAUUUUUAUAUAUAUAUAAAAAAACUAUG